UCCUCAUUCUUCUCCUCUACAAAAAAAUCGGCAGCCACCUCUCUCAAAUCACCAUGGCUAUUUCCUCUCACAUUUUCUUAAGUUUAUCGGCGAAUCGAACAUGUAAUCGCGUAAACGUUAAGAAAUCAAGCGAAGGAGCCUAUAGCGUGUUUUGAACACAAAAGGAAUGGACCUAGAAGAUAGCGAAGGGUAGGAAGGUGAAAUAGGCUUAUAUUCAUAAGCCUGUGAGGUUGGAGUUGAUCUUAUGUCAGUGGUGUUGCGCAGCUUUGCAUCUUUGGUGAGUCACUGGUGGUCAACUUGGUUUAGUAGUCGUGACAUGUUGUGUAAUAGUUUAAUCUUUAAUCUUCCGUUGGAUAAAUGUUAAGUUUUUAAUUGUGCUUUUAAGCUAAAAAGAAAAAAGAAAA